rnacentral:tRNA from 1 species
GCCCGGGUGGCGUAACGGGAGCCGCGCGACACUUAAAAUGUUGUGGCCGAAAGGCCGUGUGGGUUCGAAUCCCACCCCGGGCA